ACGCUGGCGGCAUGCCUAACACAUGCAAGUCGAACGGAGGUAGGGGCAACUCUACUUCAGUGGCGGACGGGUGAGGAAUGCGUCGGAAUCUACCCUAUGGUGGGGGAUAACACAGGGAAACUUGUGCUAAUACCGCAUGAUGUCGAGAGACCAAAGCAGGGGACCGCAAGGCCUUGCGCGAUAGGAUGAGCCGACGCCCGAUUAGCUAGUUGGUAGGGUAAAAGGCCUACCAAGGCGACGAUCGGUAGCUGGUCUGAGAGGAUGAUCAGCCACACUGGGACUGAGACACGGCCCAGACUCCUACGGGAGGCAGCAGUGGGGAAUAUUGGACAAUGGGCGCAAGCCUGAUCCAGCAAUGCCGCGUGUGUGAAGAAGGCCUGCGGGUUGUAAAGCACUUUUGUUCGGGAAGAAAACGGAUCGGUUAAUACCCGGUUCGGAUGACGGUACCGAAAGAAUAAGCACCGGCUAACUUCGUGCCAGCAGCCGC
rnacentral:rRNA from 1 species